rnacentral:lncRNA from 1 species
AAUGGAGAAAUUUUUUGUCAGUGCAGCCUUGUGCGUGCUUUUACUCAAUGCUUCUGUGAACUUCACCAAUGCGGUUGAGAAAGGUAGUUCUACAUAUGUCUCUCGUUCUUUCAUGUCUAUGCUUAUUUACUUCCAAAGUUAUAAACAAAAACUUAGUUUCUCAUGUAGACGACCUAUAAUGAAUCUAGUUGUCUCUCACAUUUUGGACACCAUCUUCUUACUAAUCAAUUUAAUUUUGUGUAUGGUCGUCUUUACAGAUGGAGAGGAUACGAAAGAUCCUAGAAGAGCUCCAGUACAUACAUGUGUUGAAUACAUAUAUCAGCCAGAAUGUCAGCCAUCGUACUGCUCGCAAUAUUGUCACGAAGCUCAACGCACAGCAAUAAAGUCACGAUGCGACUUGAAAAAAGGGUUAUGUCUUUGUUAUUUUCAAUGUGUAUAUCCACCAAAUUAAAGGCAUGAGUUGUUUCACUUUUAAGCCAUGAAUAAUGGAUUUUAUCA